ACGCUUGAGUGCAAAUCCAAGCCUGAUUCCUUUUUUGAUGUUUUUGGAUGUUGUUUCUCUGCUAUUUUUGUCUUUUGUUAGUGGAUGCUUACGAUUCAAUAUCAUCGUUUUGCAUAUAUAAUGAAAACUUAAUUGUUUGGCAUUGAUCCUCUCCUAUGAAGACUGCUCGGGUGAUGGUUUCAUUUGACAAUCAUUAUUCUGGGUUACUUUUAUUAAUUUGAUGUACACUGAAGUUCCUAAGAAGACAUGUAGGGCUUUUUAUUUUAUUUUGUUUUGAUUUUCAUUUUUUAAUUACAGUAUUAGUGGGUUGUAAUUGUAAAAUAGGGUGGCCUUUCGUUCUUUUCAUGUUACCUGUGCUUUUGUAUAUGAGCAGGCACAACAUUUACAACAAUAAAUUUGGUACUUUUUUCCUA